rnacentral:rRNA from 1 species
UGUGUAGGCGGCUUCCUAAGUUUGGUGUGAAAUCUCCCGGCUCAACCGGGAGGGUGCGCCGAAUACUGAGAGGCUAGAGUGCGGGAGAGGAAAGUGGAAUUCCUGGUGUAGCGGUGAAAUGCGUAGAUAUCAGGAGGAACACCGGUGGUGUAGACGGCUUUCUGGACCGUAACUGACGCUGAAACACGAAAGCGUGGGUAACAAACAGGAUUAGAUACCCUGGUAGUCCACGCCCUAAACGAUGCAUAUUUGGUGUGGGUCAUUCAGUUGAUCCGUGCCGGAGCUAACGCGUUAAAUAUGCCGCCUGGGGAGUACGAGUCGCAAGGCUGAA